GACGAACGCUGGCGGCGUGCCUAAUACAUGCAAGUUGAGCGCUGAAGGUUGGUACUUGUACCAACUGGAUGAGCAGCGAACGGGUGAGUAACGCGUGGGGAAUCUGCCUUUGAGCGGGGGACAACAUUUGGAAACGAAUGCUAAUACCGCAUAAAAACUUUAAACACAAGUUUUAAGUUUGAAAGAUGCAAUUGCAUCACUCAAAGAUGAUCCCGCGUUGUAUUAGCUAGUUGGUGAGGUAAAGGCUCACCAAGGCGAUGAUACAUAGCCGACCUGAGAGGGUGAUCGGCCACAUUGGGACUGGGACACGGCCCAAACUCCUACGGGAGGCAGCCGUAGGGAAUCUUCGGCAAUGGACGAAAGUCUGACCGAGCAACGCCGCGGGAGUGAAGAAGGUUUUCGGAUCGUAAAACUCUGUUGGUAGGGAAGAACGUUGGUGAGAGUGGAAAGCUCAUCAAGUGACGGUAACUACCCAGAAAGGGACGGCUAACUACGUG
rnacentral:rRNA from 1 species